GAAAGGGACUAUUUGUGUUUAAAGGAAAACGCCUUUGUAGAAUAUUCGCUAGUUAUGGGUGGGAAUUUUUUCUGAAAUAGGCAAAUACUAUGACCUUUUGGUUUUUCCUUAACAUUUUCAUUGUGAGAGAUUUAAUACAUGUAUAAAAUUGAAGAAAAUAACCCCCCAGGUAAACUGGUUGGAGAAAAGGAGCCCCGGGCUUCCCCAGCCCCAGUCAUUCUCAGGGCAGCGACUUGUCUGCCACAUUGUUGUGAAGGCCUUACAUUGUUUCAUCUGCAAAUACUUCAGUGUAUAGUUCUAAAAGGAUAUUUCACCAGAGAUUUAACAGAUUUCAGGAUGCAUGUUACUCUAGGUGAUAACUGUCUUUUCUGUUUAGUGUAUUUGAAUCUUCUCACAUUGCAUACAUUAAGGAGAAUUUU
rnacentral:lncRNA from 1 species